CUGGAUGGAUUUGUGGAAUCGGUCGCGAAUGGCCAUGAGUAUUCCGAUGAAGAUUUGCGAGGACCGACUGCAGAGGCAGAUUGAUGUGAAUGAGGUGUGAAACUCUCACUGUUGGAAUCGAGUAGUUGGGAAAACCUUGAGAGUGAAAGAGACCAAGUUGCUAUUCUCCCUUGUCUGAUUUGUGUACCGGGAAUUAAGAUCUUGAGAAUGGAAACUGCGUGAAAGAGCUAUUGAGAUAGGCGUUCUGGCUGCUUGUCACAUUAUGGUGACGUUGAUAGAGAGCUAUUACUGAAUUAUGGGUGA
rnacentral:lncRNA from 1 species